rnacentral:rRNA from 1 species
CAACCUGCCCAUCACUUGGGGAUAACCUUGCGAAAGUAAGACUAAUACCCAAUGAUAUCUCUAGAAGACAUCUGAAGGAGAUUAAAGAUUUAUCGGUGAUGGAUGGGGAUACGUCUGAUUAGCUUGUUGGCGGGGUAACGGCCCACCAAGGCUACGAUCAGUAGGGGUUCUGAGAGGAAGGUCCCCCACAUUGGAACUGAGACACGGUCCAAACUCCUACGGGAGGCAGCAGUGAGGAAUAUUGGUCAAUGGGCGAGAGCCUGAACCAGCCAAGUAGCGUGCAGGAUGACGGCCCUAUGGGUUGUAAACUGCUUUUAUAAGGGAAUAAAGUGAGUCUCGUGAGACUUUUUGCAUGUACCUUAUGAAUAAGGACCGGCUAAUUCCGUGCCAGCAGCCGCGGUAAUACGGAAGGUCCGGGCGUUAUCCGGAUUUAUUGGGUUUAAAGGGAGCGUAGGCCGGAGAUUAAGCGUGUUGUGAAAUGUAGACGCUCAGCGUCUGCACUGCAGCGCGAACUGGUUUCCUUGAGUACGCACAAAGUGGGCGGAAUUCGUGGUGUAGCGGUGAAAUGCUUAGAUAUCACGAAGAACUCCGAUUG